GGCGGCAGCCAGCGCAGCCGCAGCGCCAGCGGGGAGCGGCUCAGGCUGUACUGCAGGUCCCGCGGCGCGGACGGCGGCCCUGCGACAUGGGGAGGCGCUGAGUGGAACCGGGCAGGGACCCAAGGGACUCAUGGGGGGUGGUGCGGGGCUUGGACACCCGGCGUAGGAGCAGUAAGGAAGGUGGCAGACGUGGGGAGCAGCGCGGGUACGGAGAUCGAGGGGACCGGGAUGUGACAUGGUCACAGGGAACAGAGGGCAUGACAGAGAGGAGGGACGUCCCAACCAGGCUCAGGAAGAGAUGAGAUGACUCCACAUCUGGCAGAGCACACAGAGAGGUCGUGAGUUGGUAACUCCCCCAAACAGCUGGUUAUAGAAACCACCAACACCUCCAUCUGACUGAUAUCUCCUCUCCUGCAGUCUUAGAGAUCGCUCCCUGCACACAUUUGGUGUGACACCGGCUCUCUCCCCCAGCACAUAAACAAGUGUCGCUGCUCUACAAUAAAAGCUCACUUUCUGUUC
ensembl:antisense 1700125G02Rik RIKEN cDNA 1700125G02 gene